rnacentral:rRNA from 1 species
UACGAAGGGGGCUAGCGUUGCUCGGAAUCACUGGGCGUAAAGGGCGCGUAGGCGGCCGAUUAAGUCGGGGGUGAAAGCCUGUGGCUCAACCACAGAAUUGCCUCGAUACUGGUUGGCUUGAGACCGGAAGAGGACAGCGGAACUGCGAAGUGUAGAGGUGAAAUUCGUAGAUAUUCGCAAGAACACCAGUGGCGAAGGCGGCUGUCUGGUCCGGUUCUGACGCUGAGGCGCGAAAGCGUGGGGAGCAAACAGGG